rnacentral:misc_RNA from 1 species
UAUGAAGAACGUAGCGAAAUGCGAUAAGUAAUGCGAAUUGCAGAAUUCAGUGAGUCAUCGAAUCUUUGAACGCACAUUGCGCCCUGUGGUAUUCCGCAGGGCAUGCCUGUUCGAGCGUCAUUUCAACCCUCAAGCCUCGCUUGGUGUUGGGCCCUGCCCGCCGCGGCCGGCCCUAAAGAUAGUGGCGGCGCCGCCUGGCCCUCAGCGUAGUACAGCUCUCGCUCCAGGGUCCGGCGGCAGCCUGCCAGAACCCCCCAACUCUGUGGUUGACCUCGGAUCAGGUAGGGAUACCCGCUGAACUUAAGCAUAUCAAUAAGCGGAGGA